rnacentral:lncRNA from 1 species
CAACAACUGCUUCGAGAAAACACAGCACUACUACAUGCAACCAGACAGGAAAUAGACCAAAAAGCACGUUUUCAAAUCAAAAAACAAAUCUGAAGACUAUCAAAAAUGUAGAUGAAGAAGGAAGGCCAGAAAAUCCGUGAGCAUCCCAUUCCUUUUAUCAAGCCACCUAGGUAGAUUCUUGAAUCCACCUCCUGGAAAGGAGGCAUAAACCUGCUGCCUGAGCUGUCUUAAGAGCUUGAUCAAGCAGUGAGGUAAGUGCCUUUUACUACAUGGAAACUACAAGGUCAGAAGGGGAAAAAGUACUGAC